AAGGGUAUAGCUCAGUGGCAGAGCACAUGCUUAGCAUGCACGAGAUCCUGGGUUCAAUGCCCAGUACCUCCA
rnacentral:tRNA from 1 species